AUUGAACGCUGGCGGCAGGCCUAACACAUGCAAGUCGAACGAGUGGCGGACGGGUGAGUAAUGUCUGGGAAACUGCCUGAUGGAGGGGGAUAACUACUGGAAACGGUAGCUAUUACCGCAUACCAUCGCAUUUGCCCAGAUUGGAUUAGCUAGUAGGUGGGGUAAAGGCUCACCUAGGCGACGAGCCCUAGCUGGUCUGAGAGGAUGACCAGCCACACUGGAACGGAGACACGGUCCAGACUCCUACGGGAGGCAGCAGUGGGGAAUAUUGCGCAAUGGGCGCAAGCCUGAUGAAGCAAUGCCGCGUGUAUGAAGAAGGCCUUCGGGUUGUAAAGUACUGUCAGCGGGGAGGCGGUACCCGCAGAAGAAGCACCGGCUAACUCCGUGCCAGCAGCCGCGGUAAUAC
rnacentral:rRNA from 1 species